UACGUAGGGCGCAAGCGUUGUCCGGAAUUAUUGGGCGUAAAGAGCUCGUAGGUGGCUUGUCACGUCGGGUGUGAAAGCUUGGGGCUUAACUCCAGGUCUGCAUUCGAUACGGGCUGGCUAGAGGUAGGUAGGGGAGAACGGAAUUCCUGGUGUAGCGGUGAAAUGCGCAGAUAUCAGGAGGAACACCGAUGGCGAAGGCAGAUCUCUGGGCCGUAACUGACGCUGAGGAGCGAAAGCAUGGGGAGCGAACAGG
rnacentral:rRNA from 1 species